GCGCUGAGUUCGGCAGCACAUACACUGAAGUUGGACCGGUACAGAGAAGACCAAUGUGGCCCCUGCUGAUGGGAGAGAGGCAAAUUCAUGAAGAGUUCCAUACUUUU